rnacentral:lncRNA from 1 species
GACAGACGGAAUCAAAAAAGGAAUAAAAAAUUAUUCCCUACAAAUGGUUAUGAUCAAUUUGUUAAAAAAAUAUCUCAUAUAAGAACAAAUGGUUAUGAUCAAUGUCACGCCCCAGAUUUCUCGUUUCCCCGGGCACACUAACAGACCCGCCGUAUACAUAGGAAUUUUCCCUGUAUACGAAGCGAAGCUGUACAUGAACCCGAAUCAAAC